rnacentral:rRNA from 1 species
UAUUGCUCUUGAACGAGGAAUCCCUAGUAAGCACAAGUCAUCAGCUUGUGCUGAUUACGUCCCUGCCCUUUGUACACACCGCCCGUCGCUACUACCGAUUGAAUGGCUUAGUGAGGCCUUCGGAUUGAGAUUCGGAGUUUGGCAACAGACCCUGGGUUUUGAAAAGUUGGUCAAACUUGGUCAUUUAGAGGAAGUAAAAGUCGUAACAAGGUUUCCGUAGGUGAACCUGCGGAAGGAUCAUUACCAAUUUUAGCGGACCUGAUCCUUUGGGUUAUGGUCUCGCGAAAAAACUGUAUUUAAAACCCCACUCUUCAUAUAAAAUGAAUUAUAUAAAUAAUAAAAUUGAGAUCACUUUCAACAACGGAUCUCUUGGCUCUCGCAUCGAUGAAGAACGUAGCGAAGUGCGAUAAGUAUUGUGAAUUGCAGAAUUCCGUGAAUCAUCGAAUCUUUGAACGCAAAUUGCACUCUCUUCGGAGAGUAUGCCUGUUUGAGGGUCAGUAUAAUUUAAAUCGGUGUGUUGAUCCUAGACACUCCGGAGUUUGAGUUAUCUUAACCUUUUUAGGUUAAGAGGCCUAAAAUUGAUAUCUUUUGCGCAUUUUUUAGUCGUACAUAAAAUUUUUUUUAUUCGCCUAUUGUUAAUGCCAAAAUUUACUAGAUACGACCACAAUGUAUAUGGCUACGUGUCUAUAAUUUUUUCAUGAUUUGACCUCAAAUCAGGUAGGAGUACCCGCUGAACUUAAGCAUAUCAAUAAGCGGAGGAAAAGAAAAUAACAAUGAUUCCCUUAGUAACUGCGAGUGAAGAGGGAUAAGCUCAAAUUUUAAAUCUGUUAGGUUCUCCUGACCGAGUUGUAAUUUGAAGAAGCGUUUUCUGUGCAGUUUGGUCAGUCUAAGUCCUAUUGAAUGAGGCAUCAUGGAGGGUGAUAAUCCCGUGAGGUUGACCAUUGCGCUUUACGAUACGCUUUCUAAGAGUCAAGUUGUUUGGGAAUGCAGCUUAAAAUGGGAGGUAAAUUUCUCCUAAGGCUAAAUAACGGCGAGAGACCGAUAGCGAACAAGUACCGUGAGGGAAAGAUGAAAAGAACUUUGAAAAGAGAGUUAAAUAGUACGUGAAAUUGUUGAAAGGGAAACGAUUGAAGCCAGUCGUACCUGCGGGUAAUCAGCCUUUUGGGUGUGAUUAUGUGGAGCGUGAGGAGCUAAUCGCCUUCAUCUUUGCAUAUUCGUGCACUUUGGGUGUACUUGCUCGUGUGUAGGUUAACAUCAAUUUUGAUCGUCAUAAAAUGACUGGGGGAAUGUAGCUUCGAUCUCGUAUUGGAGUGUUAUAGCCUUCGGUAGAUGUGAUGAUUAGGAUUGAGGAUUGCAACGGAUACCCUUCGGGGCUAACUGUCUGAUCUCUGAAAGUUGCUCUGGUGCUGAAAGCUUGCUUAUGGUAUCAAAGUUGACGUUCAAUAGGUUAGAACGGGAUAAAUUCGUUAAGGAUGUUGACGUAAUGGCUUUAAACGACCCGUCUUGAAACACGGACCAAGGAGUCUAACAUAUAUGCGAGUGUU